rnacentral:rRNA from 1 species
UACAGAGGUCCCAAGCGUUGUUCGGAUUCACUGGGCGUAAAGGGUGCGUAGGUGGCUUGGUAAGUUUGAUGUGAAAUCUCCGGGCUUAACCCGGAAAUGGCAUUGAAUACUAUUGAGCUGGAGGUUUGGAGGGGGGACUGGAAUUCUCGGUGUAGCAGUGAAAUGCGUAGAGAUGUGGAGGAAUACCGAUGGCGAAGGCAGCCCCCUGGGAUAACACUGACGCUCAUGCACGAAAGCGUGGGGAGCAAACAGG